UACGUAGGGGGCAAGCGUUGUCCGGAUUUAUUGGGCGUAAAGAGCGUGUAGGCGGCCAGGUAGGUCGGUUGUGAAAACUGGAGGCUCAACCUUCAGAGGUCGACCGAAACCAUCUGGCUAGAGUCCGGGAGAGGAGAGUGGAAUUCCUGGUGUAGCGGUGAAAUGCGCAGAUAUCAGGAAGAACACCCGUGGCGAAAGCGGCUCUCUGGAACGGGACUGACGCUGAGACGCGAAAGCGUGGGGAGCGAACAGG
rnacentral:rRNA from 1 species